UAAGGAAUAUUGGUCAAUGGACGCAAGUCUGAACCAGCCAUGCCGCGUGAAGGAUGAAGGUCCUCUGGAUUGUAAACCUCUUUUAUCUGGGACGAAAACGGGAUUUUUAUCUCAAUUGACGGUACCAGAGGAAUAAGCACCGGCUAACUCCGUGCCAGCAGCCGCGGUAAUACGGAGGGUGCGAGCGUUAUCCGGAUUUACUGGGUUUAAAGGGUGCGUAGGUGGGCUUAUAAGUCAGUGGUGAAAUCUCCGAGCUUAACUUGGAAACUGCCGUUGAUACUAUAGGUCUUGAAUUAUCUGGAGGUAAGCGGAAUAUGUCAUGUAGCGGUGAAAUGCUUAGAUAUGACAUAGAACACCAAUUGCGAAGGCAGCUUACUACAUAUAAAUUGACGCUGAGGCACGAAAGCGUGGGGAUCAAAC
rnacentral:rRNA from 1 species